GUUUUUAUUUCAUUUUUAUGCCAUGCUUGAACGAAUCGCCUCCUCCCUUUUAUCCAAAUACCUUGGUGAAUAUAUAGAAGGAUUAAAUGCUGAAAAUCUCAAAUUCAAUCUAAGAGCCGGGAACUUAGUGCUAAAGAACCUGCGCCUCAAAAAAACUGCAUUUAAGCAAUUAGAACUUCUUAUCUCAUUCAAGGAUGGUAGCGUUUUAUCGUUAGUUUUAAUCUAAACAAAAUUUCUGUAUUUGAGCUCACAGAAGAUUAUGUUAUGUUACUGCUUCCUGAUUCGUUUUAUUUAGGAUAUGUUGAAACCCUGAUUAUGCAAGUUCCAUGGAGCGCAUUAAAUAGCAAACCCGUGGUCAUCAGAAUAUGUGGUGUUUACGUUGUUUUGUCUCCUAAAAGUCGAGAUCAGUCUGCAGAAGAAUUCAAGCAUAAUACUCAAUUGAUGAAACAGCAGAUGUUACAGAUAGCACAUGCCUUAGGACAAGAUAGGUUUGAAAAAAUUACAGAGGAAAAUAAAAAAAAUUCUGGAUUUUUCGAGAGGAUGACUGCAACUGUAGCCGAUAACAUUCAAAUUUUUGUUGACAAAAUUCAUAUCCUCUAUGAAGACGACAUUUCUAGUCCAGGUGAGCCCUUUUCUUUUGGUAUUACGCUGGACCAUUUUCACGUACAAAGCACUGAUGAAAAUAUGAAUCCAACUUUCUUGAACGUGG